rnacentral:tRNA from 1 species
GCAUUAAUAGCUUAACUACAAAGCAUCGGUCUUGUAAUCCGAAGAUCGGAGGUUAAACCCCUCCUUAAUGCC